UAAAAGCUGUUUUAUGGAAACCCGGCAGUGUUAAGGGUGGUAAAACAAGAAUAUUGUGUUAUCAGAGUGGUGUAAAGUAUUUUUUAAAUCAACAGAAUAUUUUAUGACUCUAUAAAUAGAAAUAAAAUAGGAGGUCAGAGGUAUUCUGCAGGCAUUUGCUGAGUUGAAAACUACACAGCUUCAUAGGAAUGGCUCAUUUCAUUAUCAGUAUUUCUGCCUUUGCUGAAGUUUAGAAAAGAUUUCUCUCUGCAAACAAGACAACAUUGUUUUGUUUGUGAGCUGUGAGUGAGUUCCUGUUACUCCUACUGCAAUCAAGAGAAGCUGAGGGCUCCCCUGCACAUUGCAGAGGAUUCUUGGAACUGUGGAAUUUGAAUUUAAACUUGGUAUUUCUAUGUCUGAAUAUGGAGGAGGCCCUGAAAAAGCAGAGUCAGUUUCUAUAGUUAAAGUACAUGAAGAUCUCUCGGAAAAACCAGAUAUUCACUGGCAUCUCACUGAAAGUGGAUCCUAGUGGCAAUGCAUGGUUGAAGACUAGAAAUACUGAUGAGAAAAGGGCUUUUUUUAAUGUCCACAGGUUGGAUUUUCCUUCACCUAAUUAAUGCCUGGACAAACUUUUUCCCACUGUCACCUGUCAAAAUGGAGAAAAUCAAGCAACAACUGUCUUGGGAAAAAGGCUGACAGUUAAUCUUAAGUCUAUAUUUAUUGUUCUAACAAUAAGGUAGACUGCGCCGAUUAGUCUCUACUGGGUGCAUUACUCCUGUGUUUGAGUGCAAGCUUAAUUUUUGUACAUUCUGUAUUAGUUAUGUAGAAGCUUAAGGGACACAGUGGCAAAUAUUCCAGUUCAUAUUCUGGAAGAGCAGAUGUGCAGGGUCUGAACUGCAUUUCUGUGAUCUGCAGAUGGCUUGACGUGGAUUCUAUUCUUGCUUGUUGUCCAAAGCGUGUGUUGUAAAUACAAAAGUAUAAAUUUUAUUUACUCAUGUCCUUGUAUAGAACAUUUCAGUGAUACAGUGAAUCAUGGGCCAGAUCUGCAGCUAGUAUACGUGGACAGAGCUGACUGACUUCAGUGAAGACAUGUAUUUGUUCAAACUGUCUGAAGCUCUGUUACACUGCAUUUAUAAGCACAAACAGACAAAGUCUUGAAAUGAAGUCAGAGAAGAAAAAUGAAAAUUUCCAUGGUCCUAUUUUUGACCUCUAGGUAUGAAAUUGUCAUUCAAAUACCCUGACUGAGUACUAAUUUGAAACUCUACAUUUCUGGGUAAUUAAAUAAAUAUGGAAUUUAUCUUCUAAUUUCA
rnacentral:lncRNA from 1 species